rnacentral:lncRNA from 1 species
UGCCUUUCUUAAAAUUCUUCAACAGUUUUCCAUAGUGGAGCUUGCCUGUCUUUGUAGCCUCAGCCCACAUUGCCCUUCCUCCUACUCACAGAUCCAGCUAUGUUGAUUGAUAUACAUUCCCCAAAUGGACUGUGCUCUUGAACACCUCCCUGCAUUCCCUUGCACUGUCUUUAUCUGGCUAAUUCCUGUUCCCUACCUCUUCUUCUAAUAAGCCAUCCUUGGUGCUGUGUGCUCCUGUAGCUCCUACCCAUACCUCUGCCAGUGCGUAAUUGUAAUUGUCUCUUGUCUG